GAUGAACGCUAGCGGCAGGCUUAAUACAUGCAAGUCGUGGGGCAGCAUGAGUGUAGCAAUACAUUUGAUGGCGACCGGCAAACGGGUGCGGAACACGUACACAACCUUCCUAUAAGUGGGGAAUAGCCCAGAGAAAUUUGGAUUAAUACCCCGUAACAUAACGAUGUGGCAUCACAUUGUUAUUAUAGCUUCGGCGCUUAUUGAUGGGUGUGCGGCUGAUUAGAUAGUUGGCGGGGUAACGGCCCACCAAGUCUACGAUCAGUAGCUGAUGUGAGAGCAUGAUCAGCCACACGGGCACUGAGACACGGGCCCGACUCCUACGGGAGGCAGCAGUAAGGAAUAUUGGUCAAUGGACGCAAGUCUGAGCCAGCCAUGCCGCGUGAAGGAUUAAGGUCCUCUGGAUUGUAAACUUCUUUUAUCUGGGACGAAAAAAGGCUUUUCUAAGUCACUUGACGGUACCAGAUGAAUAAGCACCGGCUAACUCCGUGCCAGCCGCCGCAGUAAGAC
rnacentral:rRNA from 1 species